ensembl:lncRNA
UAUGCCCUGUUUUCAAUGUAUAAUUUAAUGGAUUUUCUACCUUCUCCCCUCCCCCUGUGUGCCACUCAGUAAUAAUAUAAUUAUGGAAUAUCUUCAAAGGUUGGACUAGACCAAGCAUAAUAUUCAAAAGGUACUCUCAUCUUUCAAGACCUUCAGUUGCCCCCAAGGAAAAGAUGCGCAGAAAGGAAACCAUCAGAUGUGGAAAGCUGCUCUGUAAUGUCCCACAUGACAUGUAAUCAAAGCCAUCAAAGGCACUCAGACUGGUGACACAGCAUUUUCCAGCAUGUACCCAGACAGGACAAGAGAGGGACAAAUGUUCCAGCAAGGAUGUACAGAUUCACCAACAACCAGCUUCCAGCCCCAGCAACUGUGUAUUUGAAGUGGAAGAGUCACUAAUCAGAGAACAGAAAUACUUUCCUUGGAAGCUCAUGUGGAAAGUUAUGAGCAGAUUUCUACCAGAAAAGAAAGAUUUGCUGUGUAGCAGGAGGCAAUGUCAC